rnacentral:rRNA from 1 species
AUACGGAGGAUGCGAGCGUUAUCCGGAUUUAUUGGGUUUAAAGGGUGCGUAGGCUGUGCUGCAAGUCAGUGGUGAAAGACCUGCGCUCAACGCAGGAAGUGCCAUUGAUACUGCAGUGCUGGAGUACCCCUGCCGUGGGAGGAAUGAGUGGUGUAGCGGUGAAAUGCAUAGAUAUCACUCAGAACACCGAUUGCGAAGGCAUCUCACGAAAGGGCAACUGACGCUGAGGCACGAAAGCGUGGGGAUCAAACAGGCUUAGAUACCCUGGUAGUCCACGCAGUAAACGAUGAUAACUAACCGCUGGUGCGCAAGUAUCAGUGGCCAAGCGAAAGCGAUAAGUUAUCCACCUGGGGAGUACGACCGCAAGGUUGAAACUCAAAGGAAUUGACGGGG